UACGUAGGGUGCGAGCGUUGUCCGGAAUUAUUGGGCGUAAAGGGCUCGUAGGCGGUUUGUCGCGUCGGGAGUGAAAUCCCCGGGCUCAACCCGGGAAAUGCUUCUGAUACUGGCGGACUUGAGGCCAGUAGGGGUCACUAGAACUGACGGUGGAGCGGUGAAAUGCGUAGAUAUCGUCAGGAAUGCCGGUGGUGAAGACGGGUGACUGGGCUGGUUCUGACACUGAGGCACGAAAGCGUGGGGAGCGAACGGG
rnacentral:rRNA from 1 species